AUUGAACGCUGGCGGCAGGCCUAACACAUGCAAGUCGAGCGGAUGAAGGGAGCUUGCUCCUGGAUUCAGCGGCGGACGGGUGAGUAAUGCCUAGGAAUCUGCCUGGUCGUGGGGGAUAACGUCCGGAAACGGGCGCUAAUACCGCAUACGUCCUGAGGGAGAAAGUGGGGGAUCUUCGGACCUCACGCUAUCAGAUGAGCCUAGGUCGGAUUAGCUAGUUGGUGGGGUAAAGGCCUACCAAGGCGACGAUCCGUAACUGGUCUGAGAGGAUGAUCAGUCACACUGGAACUGAGACACGGUCCAGACUCCUACGGGAGGCAGCAGUGGGGAAUACUGGACAAUGGGCGAAAGCCUGAUCCAGCCAUGCCGCGUGUGUGAAGAAGGUCUUCGGAUUGUAAAGCACUUUAAGUUGGGAGGAAGGGCAGUAAGUUAAUACCUUGCUGUUUUGACGGUACCAACAGAAUAAGCACCGGCUAACUUCGUG
rnacentral:rRNA from 1 species